rnacentral:rRNA from 1 species
UACGUAGGGUGCGAGCGUUUGUCCGGAAUUAUUGGGCGUAAAGAGCUCGUAGGCGGUGUGUCACGUCGGCCGUGAAAAACCUGCAGCUUAACUGUGGGCGUGCGGUCGAUACGGGCAUCACUGGAGUUCGGCAGGGGAGACUGGAAUUCCUGGUGUAGCGGUGAAAUGCGCAGAUAUCAGGAGGAACACCGGUGGCGAAGGCGGGUCUCUGGGCCGAUACUGACGCUGAGGAGCGAAAGCGUGGGGAGCAAACAGG